rnacentral:rRNA from 1 species
UGACCGCUGGCGGCGUGCCUACUACAUGCACGUCGAGCGAACGGACGAGAAGCUUGCUUCUCUGAUGUUAGCGGCGGACGGGUGAGUAACACGUGGAUAACCUACCUAUAAGACUGGGAUAACUUCGGGAAACCGUAGCUAAUACCGGAUAAUAUUUUGAACCGCAUGGUUCAAAAGUGAAAGACGGUCUUGCUGUCACUUAUAGAUGGAUCCGCGCUGCAUUAGCUAGUUGGUAAGGUAACGGCUUACCAAGGCAACGAUGCAUAGCCGACCUGAGAGGGUGAUCGGCCACACUGGAACUGAGUCACGGUCCAGACUCCUACGGGAGGCAGCAGUAGGGAAUCUUCCGCAAUGGGCGAAAGCCUGACGGAGCAACGCCGCGUGAGUGAUGAAGGUCUUCGGAUCGUAAAACUCUGUUAUUAGGGAAGAACAUAUGUGUAAGUAACUGUGCACAUCUUGACGGUACCUAAUCAGAAAGCCACGGCUAACUACGUG